UACGAAGGGGGCUAGCGUUGCUCGGAAUCACUGGGCGUAAAGGGCGCGUAGGCGGCCAUUCAAGUCGGAGGUGAAAGCCCAGGGCUCAACCCUGGAAUUGCCUUCGAUACUGUUUGGCUCGAGACCGGAAGAGGUAAGUGGAACUGCGAGUGUAGAGGUGAAAUUCGUAGAUAUUCGCAAGAACACCAGUGGCGAAGGCGGCUUACUGGUC
rnacentral:rRNA from 1 species